rnacentral:rRNA from 1 species
UACAGAGGGUGCAAGCGUUGUUCGGAAUUAUUGGGCGUAAAGCGCGUGUAGGCGGCUUGUUAAGUCGGGUGUGAAAUCCCUCAGCUCAACUGAGGAAGUGCGCCCGAAACUGGCGAGCUUGAGUGUCGGAGAGGAUGGCGGAAUACCCCAAGUAGAGGUGAAAUUCGUAGAUAUGGGGUGGAACACCGGUGGCGAAGGCGGCCAUCUGGACGGUAACUGACGCUGAGACGCGAAAGCGUGGGUAGCAAACAGG